CAAGCUGGUAACAAAGUAAAGGAGAGCAACCAGACCUGCUGCCAGAAAGAGCAACAAGCUAGAGCCCACGUACUGCAGCAAACUCUGUAUGGCCAUUUCUAAAUCAAAGUGUGGGCAUAGAAUUCAGGGACCAUGCUGGAUUGCUGUCAGGGUGCCAGGUCACAGGACUCAGCUGGACCACUGGUGAUGUAAGCUUCCUUGGUGAUUCCUUCUCAAGAAUGCCUUGUCUUUUCCAAAAUACUGGGUGCCAAACCUCCGUGCAUUAUGCAGGCUAUUGCCCUUGGACAUGCUCAGGAUUUCUUUGGAUGUGCCUCAGGCUUUUUGUCACCUUCCUUUGCAUCCUCUUUCUGCUAUUGCGUUGUCUGUGUCUGAUGGACUGAUGUAUCUGGUGGACAGUUGGUUUACUAUUUUCAGAAAGCUUAUUUAUGACUGUACUUGCUGUUGCUAUAUGCUGUACCUUGUGAUACUGAAAUCUAUAUUGACUCUUGUUUA